rnacentral:rRNA from 1 species
GUGUCAGCCGCCGCGGUAAUACGGAGGGUGCGAGCGUUAAUCGGAAUUACUGGGCGUAAAGCGCGCGUAGGCGGUCUGUUAAGUCAGCUGUGAAAGCCCCGGGCUCAACCUGGGAACUGCAGUUGAUACUGUCAGGCUGGAGUACGAGAGAGGGAGGUAGAAUUCCAUGUGUAGCGGUGAAAUGCGUAGAUAUAUGGAGGAAUACCAGUGGCGAAGGCGGCCUCCUGGCUCGAUACUGACGCUGAGGUGCGAAAGCGUGGGUAGCAAACAGGAUUAGAUACCCCAGUAGUCC